rnacentral:rRNA from 1 species
GUAGUUAACCUAACCUAUGGAUGGGGAUAACCUCGGGAAACUGAGAAUAAUACCCAAUAGACCACAGUGCCUGGAAUGGCCUGUGGUUGAAAUGAUUUAUCGCUGUAGGAUGGGACUGCGGCCUAUCAGCUUGUUGGUGAGGUAAUGGCCCACCAAGGCUAUAACAGGUACGGGCUCUGAGAGGAGGGGCCCGGAGAUGGGUACUGAGACACGGACCCAGGCCCUAUGGGGCGCAGCAGGCGAGAAACCUUUGCAAUGUGCGAAAGCACGACAAGGUUAAUCCGAGUGUCUCCUGCUAAAGGAGUCUUUUGUCAGUUGUAGAAUCACUGGUGAAUAAGGGGUGGGCAAGUUCUGGUGUCAGCCGCCGCGGUAAAACCAGCACCUCGAGUGGUCAGGAGGUUUAUUGGGCCUAAAGCAUCCGUAGCCGGUUGCAUAAGUUUUCGGUUAAAUCUAUGCGCUCAACGUAUAGGCCGCCGAAAAUACUGUGCAGCUAGGGAGUGGGAGAGGUACACGGUACUCAGUAGGAAGGGGUAAAAUCCUUUGAUCUAUUGAUGACCACCUGUGGCGAAGGCGGUGUACCAGAACACGUUCGACGGUGAGGGAUGAAAGCUGGGGGAGCAAACCGGAUUAGAUACCCGGGUAGUCCCAGCUGUAAACGAUGCAGACUCGGUGAUGCAUUGGCUUGUGGCCAAUGCAGUGCCGCAGGGAAGCCGUUAAGUCUGCCGCCUGGGAAGUACGUACGCAAGUAUGAAACUUA